rnacentral:rRNA from 1 species
UACGUAGGGGGCAAGCGUUAUCCGGAUUCACUGGGCGUAAAGGGAGCGCAGGCGGCACGGCAAGUCUGGUGUGAAAACCCGGGGCUCAACCCCGGGACUGCAUUGGAAACUGCCGGGCUGGAGUGUCGGAGGGGUAAGCGGAAUUCCUAGUGUAGCGGUGAAAUGCGUAGAUAUUAGGAGGAACACCAGUGGCGAAGGCGGCUUACUGGACGAUGACUGACGCUGAGGCUCGAAAGCGUGGGGAGCAAACAGG